rnacentral:rRNA from 1 species
AUGUUACGCCAAUUUGAACUUGCUCGGUCUGUUCAAUUGCGGCCUUAUAAUGCAAUCUCAUUCUCUGGUCCAAUUGCUGUUUUUGUUUAUGUAUUCCUUAUUUAUCCACUGGGGCAAUCUGGUUGGUUCUUUGCGCCGAGUUUUGGCGUAGCAGCGAUAUUUCGAUUCAUCCUUUUCUUCCAAGGAUUUCAUAAUUGGAUGUUGAACCCAUUUCAUAUGACGGGACUUGCCGGAGUAUUAGGUGCGGCUCUGCUAUGCGCUAUUCAUGGAGCGGCCGUAGAAAACACUCUAUUUGAGGACGGUGAUGGUGCAAAUACCUUCCGUGCUUUUAACCCAACUCAAGCUGAAGAAACUUAUUCCAUGGUCACUGCUAACCGCUUUUGGUCCCAAAUCUUUGGUGUUGCUUUUUCCAAUAAACGUUGGUUACAUUUCUUUAUGCUAUUUGUACCCGUCACCGGUUUAUGGAUGAGUGCUAUUGGCGUAGUUGGCUUGGCUCUGAACUUACGUGCCUAUGACUUUGUUUCCCAGGAAAUCCGUGCAGCGGAAGAUCCUGAAUUUGAGACUUUGUACACCAAAAAUAUUCUUUUAAACGAGGGUAUUUGUGCGUGGAUGGCAGCUCAGGAUCAGCCUCAUGAAAAUCUUAUAUUCCCAGAGGAGGUUCUACCACGUGGAAACGCUCUUUAA